GCCGCCACAGGGUCAUGGCCAGCAGAUGAGGGCAACAGGCCAGCACCCAGACAGAAGAAGUGGUACGAGCUGUAUCAAAGGAUUGAGAAAUGUCCCAUGAUGCAGCAUGGGCAGAAGUCCUUGUUUGGUGGUGUCGGGAGAUGUUUGUGUGGAUUCCACAUCCAGAAGCAGCCAUCUUCUACAAGCCCGGAGGCUUCAGCUGCAGGUCCUGCCCACGCUGCUCCUACACGGCAGACGUCCACUGCAGGUCCUGCCCACGCUGCUACUACACGGCAGACGUCCACUGCAGGUCCUGCCCACGCUGCU